rnacentral:rRNA from 1 species
GACGAACGCUGGCGGCGUGCCUAAUACAUGCAAGUCGAACGCAGUGGGGACGGGAGCGUAACACGUGGGUAACCUCCCCAUCAGAGGGGAUAACACUUGGCAACAGGUGCUAAACCGCUAAUGCUGGUAGGACCCGCGGUGCAUUACGUCGUUGGGGAGGUAACGGCUAACCAAGGCGACGAUGCAUAGCCAACCUGAGAGGGUGAGCGUCCACACUGGGACUGAGACACGGCCCAGACUCCUACGGGAGGCAGCAGUAGGGAAUCUUCGGCAAUGGACGAAAGUCUGACCGAGCAACGCCGCGGGAGUGAAGAAGGUUUUCGGAUCAGAAAACUCUGUUGUUAGAGAAGCGGUAUCUAACCAGAAAGCCACGGCUAACUACGUGCCAGCAGCCGCGGUAAUUC